GGAAGUAAAAUCGUAACAAGGUUUCCGUAGGUGAACCUGCGGAAGGAUCAUUAUCGAAAUACUUAUUUAGCGUUCCGUGCUAUCCCAUUGUUUUAUUUACCCUGUUGCUUCCACUGGAUGAGUUUCCAUACCUUGUGUUUGAGAACCUCUGGCUUGUGUAAGAUUCAUUCACGGCCAGCCAGUGAGAAGACCAUUUACAAAACCCUGUUAAGAACCAAUUGUCUGAAUAUUUUACUCCAAUGAAAUAAAACUUUCAACAACGGAUCUCUAGGCUCUC
rnacentral:misc_RNA from 1 species